GACGAAUGCUGGCGGCGUGCUUAACACAUGCAAGUCGAACGGAAAGGCCCUGCUUGCAGGGUACUCGAGUGGCGAACGGGUGAGUAACACGUGGGUGAUCUGCCCUGCACUUCGGGAUAAGCCUGGGAAACUGGGUCUAAUACCGGAUAGGAGCCAUUUUUAGUGUGAUGGUUGGAAAGUUUUUUCGGUGUAGGAUGAGCUCGCGGCCUAUCAGCUUGUUGGUGGGGUAAUGGCCUACCAAGGCGGCGACGGGUAGCCGGCCUGAGAGGGUGGACGGCCACAUUGGGGCUGAGAUAAGGCCCAGAACCCUAAGGGGAGCAGGAGUGGGGAAUAUUGGCAAAAGGGCGGAAGCCUGAUGCAGCGAAGCCGCGGGGGGGAUGACCGCCUUCCGGUUGGAAACCCCUUUCGCUAGGGACGAAGCUUUUUGUGACGGUACCUAGAUAAGAAGCACCGGCUAACUACGUG
rnacentral:rRNA from 1 species